rnacentral:sRNA from 1 species
AGAGGCCUCUGCUCUGCCAGCCUGGGAGUCAUCUUCACCCUCAGGCUGGUAGACUCCAGUCUCUUAGGUCAGAAUGGGAUUAGAGACCCGUUCCUGAACCAGUCACACACAGCGGGUGAAACUGCUAUGAUUGGUUUAGACUUAGAGACUGGAAUGGAUGCUGUCCCCAGAUAGCAGAUGACUGGUAGGAAGAUGAGGCAAGUUUGCGGUCCAUUGUCAUGGAUAGUGGAGACAACACUGGGCCAGAAGUGGUAAGACCUGAAUCCAAGACUCAGCUCUGCCACUUGCUAAAUGGGACUUUGAAUAAACCAUUUCUCUGCACUUAAGUUCCUUACCAACAAAACGAGGGAAGUGGCCUACAUGCCUAGAUAUCAACAUUUCAUGUCAUGUAGAGAUCUAGCAUCACAAGACUCCAAGUCAUCCUCUGUUGCCUUUAAGAAAUUAGAAUUCAAGGAAUCAGAAUUGAAGUGAAUCUGACUACACUAAGCCUAUCACUUGUGACAGCCAUGGGAAGAUAUCAUUGGUUGCUGAGGAGCAGAAAUAAGCAGAGACCUAUUGUGUUAGGUUAUCAUUCAUUUCAGGACACCAUGGUGUUCACCUUUCUACAACUUUACACUUGCUGAGGACAUAUUGUGGAAAAUUAAGAGAAAUAUAUAUGGAUGGCCAAGGCUGUAGAUGGAUGUCCAAGCCUUUUUACUGGGGAAUGUUUUCAGAACAAAAUGAGUUACAGGUUCAAGAGUGAAACCCAACAAAUCUUGGCUCUUUUUUUCUCUACUAAAUUCCAAAUCAAAA